CUGGGAUUGCUACAACAAGAAAUGGUGCCAGAGACCCAAUUGUGAACUCUGAUAUUUCCCGUAAAGGCAUAGGCUUUAGUGAAUCUUUUAGAUUCCACAAGGUCUUGCAAGGUCAAGAAAUAAUUCCAAGUUCAACAUUUGGAAGAUACCCAACAGCUACCAAUGAGGUUUGUAAAAAUGGCAGCUUUGGAAUAUCUGAUGGCAAUCAAAUGACAAGCUCAGGAAAUGGAUGGUCUGCUGUGAUGCAGGGUUAUAAUACUCGUAUGUGCCUUCCC
rnacentral:misc_RNA from 1 species